CAAGCAAAGCUAGGUAGAGGCCAGGCCAUAGAUCGAGAUCGAUCUGCAGGUGCAGUGCGGUGGGUGGGCAUGGCGACGAAAGCUGGGGUGAUCGCCACGCUCCUGGCCCUGAACCUCCACUUCUUCACCUUCUCCGACGCGUGCGGCUGCCAGUGCGGCUCAUGCCCUAGUCCCGGCGGAGGAGGCGGUGGCGGUGGCGGUGGCGGUGGCGGUGGUGGAGGGCGUGGAGGUGGUGGCGGGAGCGGCGGAGGUUCAGGUGGAGGCGGCGGUUCAGGUGGAGGAGGAAGCGGCGGCGGAGGUUCAGGCGGUGGAGGAAGCGGAGGCGGCGGAGGAGGAGGAAGCGGCGGCGGCGGGGGAGGAGGAAGAUGCCCGAUCGACACGCUGAAGCUGGGGGUGUGCGCGAACGUGCUGAAUGGGCUGAUAAACGUGCAGCUGGGGACGCCGCCGCGGCAGCCGUGUUGCAGCCUCAUCCAGGGCCUCGCCGACCUUGAGGCCGCCGUGUGCCUCUGCACCGCCCUCCGCGCCAACAUCCUUGGCAUCAACCUCAACCUCCCCAUCAACCUCAGCCUCCUCGUCAACUACUGCGGCCGCUCCGUCCCCUCCGGCUUCCAGUGCAGCAACUAAUAUAGCUGCUGCUCCAUUCUACUUCACUGCUUGCUACACACAAGAACGUACGAAGAACGACCACCAGGCCACGUACAAC
rnacentral:lncRNA from 1 species